rnacentral:rRNA from 1 species
AUUGAACGCUGGCGGCGUGCCUAACACAUGCAAGUCGAGCGGUAACAGGUGUAGCAAUACAUGCUGACGAGCGGCGGACGGGUGAGUAACGCUUGGGAAUCUGCCUGUUAGUGGGGGACAACCCGGGGAAACUCGGGCUAAUACCGCAUACGCACUAAGGUGGAAAGCCGGGGACCGCAAGGCCUGGCGCUAACAGAUGAGCCCAAGUCGGAUUAGCUAGUUGGUAGGGUAACGGCCUACCAAGGCGACGAUCCGUAACUGGUCUGAGAGGACGACCAGUCACACCGGAACUGAGACACGGUCCGGACUCCUACGGGAGGCAGCAGUGGGGAAUAUUGGACAAUGGGGGCAACCCUGAUCCAGCGACGCCGCGUGGGUGAAGAAGGCCUGCGGGUUGUAAAGCCCUUUCGGUGGGGAAGAAAAGUUUCGACCUAACACGUCGGGACCUUGACGUAACCCACUAAAGAAGCACCGGCUAACUCUGUGC